GAUGAACGCUGGCGGCGUGCCUAAUACAUGCAAGUCGAACGGACGGACGAUAAGCUUGUUUCUCUGAUGUUAGCGGCGGACGGGUGUGUAACACGUGGAUAAUCUACUUAUAUUUCUGGGAUAAUUUCGGGAAUCCGGAUCUUAUACUGGAUGAUAUUUUGAACCGUAUGGUGCAAAAGUGAAUGACGGUCUUUCUGUCUCUUAUAGAUGGUUCCGCGCUGCAUUAUCUAGUUGGUAAGGUAACGGCCUAUCAAGGCAACGAUGCAUAGCCGACCUGAGAGGAUGAGCGGCCACACUGGAGCUGGGACACGGUCCAGACUCCUACGGGAGGAAGCAGUAGGGAAUAUUAGGCAAUAGGCGAAAGCCUGACGCAGCCACGCCGCGUGAGUGAUGAAGGUCUUCGGAUCGUAAAACUCUGUUAUUGGGGAAGAACAGAUGUGGAAGUAAAUGUGGCCAUAGUGACGGUACCUAAUAAAGAAGCAACGGCUAACUACGUG
rnacentral:rRNA from 1 species